CCCUUGUGGAGGAGGACGCCGAAGGUGGGGCUAAUGACUGGGGUGAAGUCGUAACAAGGUAGCCGUACCGGAAGGUGCGGCUGGAUCACCUCCUAACAGGGAGACAACAAAAUGUUUAAUUUUAUAAUUUUGUCACCUUAGGUCGAUCGGUAUCUCACGUUCUUGAUUUAUUGAGAAUUUCAUUUCCUAAGUUUUUCUAGGUCACACCCAUUAUUUUUCCUGGGCCAUUAGCUCAGGUGGUUAGAGCGCACCCCUGAUAAGGGUGAGGUCCCUGGUUCAAGUCCAGGAUGGCCCAUAUCUCUAUGUUGGGGGUAUAGCUCAGUUGGUAGAGCGCCUGCUUUGCAAGCAGGAUGUCAGCGGUUCGAGUCCGCUUACCUCCACUGAUUACCACCUCUUUCAUAAUCAGUAAAAAGGAAUUUUUUUGAGUUGUGAUCACAUUCUGAACGAAUCUAGCUUCCUAAUGAAAUCAUUAAGAUGCUGGACUCAUUGAAUUAAUUUCAUUGUUUUCAGAGAACCUUGACAACUGCAUAGAUUAUUUUUAAAGACAUUAAGCAUCUUUAAUGAUGCAGAUUUAUUAUUUGUGCGAAUGCAUUAAUAACAAUUCUAUUAAGCUGAUGCUUCAAUUACGAAGUUAUUGGUCAAGCUACAAAGGGCUCACGGAGGAUACCUAGGCACACAGAGGCGA
rnacentral:misc_RNA from 1 species